GUGAUCCCCAGAGACGCACAGCAGCCAUCCACAAUGGGCCCUCGGUUUAUCUCCAUGGCAGGCUCUUCCCCUGCAAAGGAAACCAGCCCAAGUGCAGGGGAUGCCGGAGCUGGGACCCUCCACCUCCGGGCCAGGGCAGGGUGGAAGAUUGAAGAUGUGCUGGACACUCCCCAGGUCUUCAUCCCUUCCCCCACCGCCCCCAGGUGAAUCUGCAAAUGAUGAGGACAGACCAUAGCUGGAUACCAUCAGAGUCCCCUGACCUGCUAUUUCGAUGUGCAAAUCCUGGCUGGUAAAGAGAAUUGGGAUCGGGGCACUGAGGCAGGUAAGUGUAGGGCUAGUACUGGGAGAGUGUGCGUGGGUGGAGAGGGGCGAGUGUGCCUAGACUUGGUUUCUGUGGCUCCCAGAGACCCGGUAGGUUGGUACUCACUGCCUCUACUUGCAUUGUUCAUGCGAGGAUGCUUUCGGGCUAGAGACGGCACCAGGAUCUGCUUUUCAGGCUACAAUUCAUUUAAAGGGGUAUAGAAGGGUCCCUGGCAGGAUCUAGGGGAACCAUGCCCUCAGUGGCUAUUUUGCAAAUCAGGACUAAAUCAUGGAGCCAGUUUCGGUUGCAUGAAAUCAUCAUAUUCGGAGUUCUGUUGGGGCUCAGCGGUCACGACCCCAACUAGUAUCUGUGACUACAUGGCUUUGAUGCCUGCAUUCGCUCAGUGUGCUAAGAAUCUAGUGUUGCCCUGAGCUGUGGUGUAGGUCGCCGUCAUGGCUCGGAUCCCACAUUGCUAUGACUGUGGUGUAGGCCAGCAGCCGAGGCUCUGGUUUGACCCCUAGCCUGGGAACUUCCAUAUACUGCAGGUGCAGCCCUAAAAAGCAAAAAAAAAAAACAAAAAAAAAAAAAAAAAAAAAGGAAAAGAAAGAAAUACUGUAUUCUUUCUCACCUUAAGUCUUUUUUUCUCUCUGUCUAGAACUCUAUACCGUCUCUCUUUUUCUUUUUCCCCUUACUUUGCCUACCUAAUUUUAUCCACCCAUCAAAUCUUGGUCAAUUUUUCCAAGUUUGGGCUCUGAGUUUGGACCUGGUGGCCCAACUCUAUGCCUCUCAAUACCCUAUUCUUCCUCCAGUUGUUAAUAUUCAUCACACGAUGUAUUCUCCUCUUUUUGACUGGAGUAUAAUUUCCCCAAAGGCAGGAAACUUAACCUAUUCUAACCUCAGAUCAAACAAAUUGACUUAAAUAGGAGUUCCUUGUGGCUUAGCAGGUUAAGGGUUAAGAAUCCAGCAUUGUCACUGCAGUGGCUUGGGUUUAUUCCCUGGCCUGGGAACGUCUGCAUGCUGCAAGAGUGGCCAAAACAAAUAAAACAAAACAAAAAAUUGACUUAAAUGAUGAA
rnacentral:lncRNA from 1 species